rnacentral:rRNA from 1 species
AUUGAACGCUGGCGGCAGGCUUAACACAUGCAAGUCGAGCGGGGUGAUGGUGCUUGCACUAUCACUUAGCGGCGGACGGGUGAGUAAUGCUUAGGAAUCUGCCUAUUAGUGGGGGACAACAUCUCGAAAGGGAUGCUAAUACCGCAUACGUCCUACGGGAGAAAGCAGGGGAUCACUUGUGACCUUGCGCUAAUAGAUGAGCCUAAGUCGGAUUAGCUAGUUGGUGGGGUAAGGGCCUACCAAGGCGACUAUCUGUAGCGGGUCUGAGAGGAUGAUCCGCCACACUGGGACUGAGACACGGCCCGGAGUCCUACGGGAGGCAGCAGUGGGGAAUAUUGGACAAUGGGGGGAACCCUGAUCCAGCCAUGCCGCGUGUGUGAAGAAGGCCUUAUGGUUGUAAAGCACUUUAAGCGAGGAGGAGGCUCUUUUGGUUAAUACCCAAGAUGAGUGGACGUUACUCGCGGAAUAAGCACCGGCUAACUCUGUGCCAGCAGCCGCCGUAA